GACGAACGCUGGCGGCGUGCCUAAUACAUGCAAGUAGAACGCACAGUUUAUACCGUAGCUUGCUACACCAUAGACUGUGAGUUGCGAACGGGUGGGUAACGCGUAGGUAACCUGCCUGGUAGCGGGGGAUAACUAUUGGAAACGAUAGCUAAUACCGCAUAAUAUUAAUUAUUGCAUGAUAAUUAAUUGAAAGGUGCAAUUGCACCACUACCAGAUGGACCUGCGUUGUAUUAGCUAGUAGGUGAGGUAACGGCUCACCUAGGCGACGAUACAUAGCCGACCUGGGAGGGUGAUCGGCCAAACUGGGACUGAGACACGGCCCAGACUCCUACGGGAGGCAGCAGUAGGGAAUCUUCGGCAAUGGACGAAAGUCUGACCGAGCAACGCCGCGUGAGUGAAGAAGGUUUUCGGAUCGUAAAGCUCUGUUGUAAGAGAAGAACGGGUGUGAGAGUGGAAAGUUCACACUGUGACGGUAUCUUACCAGAAAGGGACGGCUAACUACGUG
rnacentral:rRNA from 1 species